CCGUUUUCUGCUUCAACAGUGUUUGAACCGAAACAG
rfam:Nematostella vectensis strain CH2 x CH6 NEMVEscaffold_383_Cont25612, whole genome shotgun sequence.